rnacentral:lncRNA from 1 species
UCACCACUGUUCUUGGUCUCUGUGAUUCCAGAUUGAAUUAUAAUCGUUGUGCAAAAUUCGACAAGGGCUUCUUCUCCGGUUCCGUCUGCGGUUGUGUCAUCUUUGAUGAAUUUCCAGUCUUGUCAACGGCGACAUCAUCUCGGAGUUCGAUGAUCCUUUAAUUUGUUUACUGCUCAUUCUAAUUUUUGGGCCUUUGUAUUCCUCUGAUAUGAUAUCGGCUUGCAAUACUGAAACUGGCCCUCUAAAAACGUUAGAUGCUAAUUUUUAUCAAAUGAUGUGAUGAUUCCGCAAUCUUUUGGAUAUUGAUUUUGUGUGUCACUAAAGCAGGCGGAGAAAGGUGGUUGCUUAAUGGGAAGAAUCACAAACAAGAUGGGUUAAAUCAGGCAGGGGGAAAGUUGGUUCAUCUGAUAAGCAUUCUUUUUUAUUCAAGGGUUAAUUCAGACAGGGAGAAGACUGAAUCAAGUAGAAGCUUGUUGCAGUUACAAAACUAAGAAAAUUUGAGAGCAAAGAGUUGGUAUAUUCUACAUCAUCUGUGUAAGAACUGGUUGACUGAAUUUAGGGUGAGAAUGUGGAAGCAAUGGGCUUCAUGUACAGAAGAGCUUCAGACAGGGAGAGGACUGAAUCAAGUAGAAGCUUGUUGCAGUUAAAAAACUAAGAAAAAUUUGAGAGCAAAGAGUUGGUAUAUUCUACAUUAUCUGUGUAAGAACUGGUUGACUGAAUUUGAACCAGCGAGGGUGAGAAUGUGGAAGCAAUGGGCUUCAUGUACAGAAGAGUUGAAAAGAAGCAUUUUGCAAGGAGCAUAGACGCCUGCAGAAGGACAAAAAUUACAAUUUUCAGUAUUCAAGGUGCUAACAAGAAAAGGAAGUUACGUGGACCAAAUCUGAGACGACUACCUCCAAGAAUUAGAUAAGCAUAAACGUAUGUUUGUUCUCAUUGAGAGAGAGAGAUAGAGAGAGCAAGGAUGUUCUAUACAAAUAGGAUUUGCUAUUUUCAAGAAAUAGUAGCAGAGGUAAUUCAGGAGAGCAGAUGGAAACACAACUUGUUGCUGUGCAAAAAUAGAAACUCUUGCUAUAUGCAGAAAACUAUGGUUUACGAAAUUCUAAAUGAUGGCUAAUAUAAGUGGGAAUUGACGAGGAUGCA